rnacentral:rRNA from 1 species
GAUGAACGCUAGCGGCAGGCCUAAUACAUGCAAGUCGAACGGUCCUUUCGGGGAUAGUGGCAAAAGGGUGCGUAACGCGUAAGCAACCUGCCUCCAACUGGGGGAUAGCCCGGCGAAAGCUGGGGUAAACCCGCAAGGUCCAGUGGUCUCACCUGAGGCAACGGGUAAGAAUUCAAGGGUUGGAGAGGGGCUUGCGUCUGAUUAGGUAGUUGGUGAGGUAACGGCUCACAAAGCCGAUGAUCAGUAGGGGUUCUGAGAGGAUUGACCCCCACAUGGGUACUGAGAUACGGACCCAACUCCUACGGGAGGCAACAGUAGGGAAUAUUGGGCAAUGGAGGCAACUCUGACCCAGCCAUGCCGCGUGAAGGAUGAAGGCGCUCAGCGUUGUAAACUUCUUUUAUCAAGGAAAAACUUCAGUCCUGGGGGAUUGAUUGACGGUACUUGAGGAAUAAGCACCGGCUAACUCCGUGCCAGCAGCCGCAGUAAUAC